GACAGGUGGUGCAUGGUUGUCGUCAGCUCGUGUCGUGAGAUGUUGGGUUAAGUCCCGCAACGAGCGCAACCCUUGUUCUUAGUUGCCAUCAGGUAAUGCUGGGCACUCUAAGGAUACUGCCGGUGACAAACCGGAGGAAGGUGGGGAUGACGUCAAAUCAUCAUGCCCUUUAUGACCUGGGCUACACACGUGCUACAAUGGCCUAUACAAAGGGUUGCGAAGCUGUGAAGUGGAGCCAAUCCCAAAAAGUAGGUCUCAGUUCGGAUUGUAGGCUGCAACUCGCCUACAUGAAGUCGGAAUCGCUAGUAAUCGCGGAUCAGCAUGCCGCGGUGAAUACGUUCCCGGGCCUU
rnacentral:rRNA from 1 species